rnacentral:rRNA from 1 species
GAGAGAGCGAUCUGGAGCAAAUCCCAAAAAUAAACGUCCCAGUUCGGAUUGUAGUCUGCAACUCGACUACAUGAAGCUGGAAUCGCUAGUAAUCGCGAAUCAGCAUGCCGCGGUGAAUACGUUCCCGGGCCUUGUACACACCGCCCGUCACACCAUGAGAGUCGGGAACACCCGAAGUCCGUAGCCUAACCGCAAGGGGGGCGCGGCCGAAGGUGGGUUCGAUAAUUGGGGUGAAGUCGUAACAAGGUAUC